rnacentral:lncRNA from 1 species
UUCCUUUUGCAAAUACACUUCAAAGCUUUAAGUAAUAUAUUCCAAAUGUCCCCAAUCCUUUGAUUUACAAGAGAGACCACUAAUUGCAUAUACAAAAGCUAAUACUAUGUACCUAUAAACAUAUAUAGGAGAGUUUAAAUUUACACUAUUAUCUUUAUUUAAAAUGUGUCAUGUCACAUGCAACAUGUUGCCUGCCCUAUUUUUCAGGUAGCUAGUUCUGCUUAUUACAGAUCGUUACCCAUUCUGAAACAACGUGCAUUAGAGCGUACAUAAAAAUUCUUUUACACUGUCAGCGUACAUUCGUACCAACAAUGUUUUUGUUUUGAAAAGAAUGACCAAUACCAGGGCUGUGAUCUUUGAGAUCAUCAAAUCUUCCUUUAGGCCUUGAAGCAGGGGAAUUUUCUUUUUUUCUUGUGAAUUGAAAAUGAUUUGUUUUUUCUUCAUACCUUUGCUUUGAGUUGAUAACAACUUGACUUGGGAUUUGAGUUGAAUCAAACUUGUCUUUCUUCAAUGUUUUUAGUUGUCUUCCUUCAGUAAAUAGAACUUGAUGGCAAGCAAUAAGUGCAAGAAGGAAAGUAAAU